AACCUGGUUGAUCCUGCCAGUAGUGUAUGCUUCUCCUAAAGACUAAGCCAUGCAUGCCUUCGAAUACGAGGAAGCAAUUCUCUCUGAAUCUGCGAACGGCUCCGCAAACCAGUUGUAAACUAUAGCAAGCAAGCCUGUGCCCCUCACCGGGUGCAGGCAACACGGAUAACCCUGGUAAUUCUGAGGCUAAUACGAGAUCGUACUCCCUGGCUAACCGGGCAACUGGAAGGCUGGGAGGUGUGUGAUUUAGCACGAGGAAUCUGCUGGGAAAAGACACAUGCCUGGACCGCGCCAAAGACAGAUGGGGCUUCCCGCAAGGGUCGCCCUGCCUGAGCGGCUCUUGCUUUGUGCUUCUGACCUAUCAACUAGAUGGCAGCGUAACGGACAUGCUAUGGUGACAACGGGUACAGAGGAUAAGGGUUCGAUCCUGGAGAGUGGGCCUGAGAGAUUGCUCAUACUUCUAAGGAAGGCAGCAGGCGCGCAACGUUCCCCUUGUACAAUGUAUGAGGGCGUUAGGGGACAUAUGAAUGUCUGCCCAACU
rnacentral:rRNA from 1 species